UGCAGUCGAGCGGUAGCACAGAGAGCUUGCUCUCGGGUGACGAGCGGCGGACGGGUGAGUAAUGUCUGGGAAACUGCCUGAUGGAGGGGGAUAACUACUGGAAACGGUAGCUAAUACCGCAUAAUGUCGCAAGACCAAAGUGGGGGACCUUCGGGCCUCAUGCCAUCAGAUGUGCCCAGAUGGGAUUAGCUAGUAGGUGGGGUAACGGCUCACCUAGGCGACGAUCCCUAGCUGGUCUGAGAGGAUGACCAGCCACACUGGAACUGAGACACGGUCCAGACUCCUACGGGAGGCAGCAGUGGGGAAUAUUGCACAAUGGGCGCAAGCCUGAUGCAGCCAUGCCGCGUGUGUGAAGAAGGCCUUCGGGUUGUAAAGCACUUUCAGCGGGGAGGAAGGCGGUGAGGUUAAUAACCUUGUCGAUUGACGUUACCCGCAGAAGAAGCACCGGCUAACUCCGUGCCAGCAGCCGCGGUAAUACGGAGGGUGCAAGCGUUAAUCGGAAUUACUGGGCGUAAAGCGCACGCAGGCGGUCUGUCAAGUCGGAUGUGAAAUCCCCGGGCUCAACCUGGGAACUGCAUUCGAAACUGGCAGGCUAGAGUCUUGUAGAGGGGGGUAGAAUUCCAGGUGUAGCGGUGAAAUGCGUAGAGAUCUGGAGGAAUACCGGUGGCGAAGGCGGCCCCCCUGUGACACUGACUGACGCUCAGGUGCGAAAGCGUG
rnacentral:rRNA from 1 species